rnacentral:lncRNA from 1 species
CUCGACAUCACCCUUGACAGGUCGAGUCCUGGGAAUGCCAUCUUGAUCCAAUUUUGGUAUGUCCAAAAUCUAUCCGUGUAGCCCACAUCAAACAUAUAUAGGACCAUAUCAUCAGAAGACACGGGAUCAGCCAAUCCUUGCUCGACUAGGCCUCGAGAUCUCAUGACUGUUUGCCGACUUUUCCUCAGUCUAUAUUCAGCGACCACAUUGUUCGAGCAUUCAAGUUUAGAAAUCCUCUCUU